GUGUCUAAGUGUGUCUGUCUUUCUGUCUGUGUGUGCGUCUCUAUGUGUGUGUCUGUCUGUGUGUCUGUCUUUCUGUGUGUGUGACUGUGUGUCUUUGUGUCUCUGCGUGUGUGUUUCUGUGUGUAUGUCUGUCUGUCGUUCUGUGUCUGUCUUUCUGUGUGUGUGCGUGUCUGUCUGUGUGUGUCUGUCUGUGUGUGUGACUGUGUGAGUGUGUGUGCCUGUCUGUGUGUGUGACUGUGUGAGUGUGUGUGUGACCGUCUGUCACAAGUAGAUUGAGGCCUCAUCUAGUUUGAGCUGCUCGUGUCUCUUGACCCUUAAAGGUCAUCUCAGGGUCAAAUAGAUUCUUCUGCUUCCUUGAAACAUUAAAAACAGACUCGGCUGCUCGACAGAUCAAAGUUGAGCCGGCGGCUCACAUGUUCUCAAGCUGAGCCUCAGAGGAGGAUGAUGAUGAUGAUGAUGAUGACAGGGCGUCUUCAUCACUUAUGUCACGAUGGACGUGUCUUUGGUGGAAGACAUGAAAUACAGCUUUGGAUUUCAAAGGGAUGAAGGUUUUUUAAAAGCCUCUCCGUCCUCCACACAUUCCAUCCUGCAGACUGGAUCCUCUCGGUGUGUUUUCAAUUCAUGUUCCAGUUCACCGUGAUCUUUGCGGUCGCUUAAAAAAAAAAGAUUAUAAAUCACAAAGAAAACAAAAAACAGAUGUCUGGAAAGCUCCCGGCAACAGGUAGCAGACUGAAGUAGGGGGGAAUCGGAACUCUGUGCAGUCGUUGCCUGGCAACGAAACAUUUCCAUAUCCCUGCGGCAACGGAGCCGAGGCGACUCCGCAGGGCGCCGCUGAGCGCGCGUGUGUGUGUGUGCGUGUGCGUGCGUGUGUGCGUGCGUGUGUGUGUGCGCGUGUGUGUGUGCGUGUGUGUGCGUGUGUGUGUGUGCAUGCGUGCGUGUGCGUGUGCACGUGUGUGUGUGUGCGCGUGUGUGCGCGCGUGUGUGUGCGUGUGCACGUGUGUGUGUGCACGUGUGUGUGUGCGUGCGUGUGUGUGUGUGCGCGUGUGCAGGGUUUUUCCUGCAUAGAGAACAUUUGGGCGCGCGCCUAAGCCGUUUUCCCGAGCGCCUAAGGCAAAAAAAGUCCGCGAUGAAAAAAAACAAAAAAAACUGUGUUCAUCACGUGCAUGUCAGCGAAUAUGUUCUCAAUAGUAUGUUUCAAGUAGGCUACAGCCGAACCCUCGUUCUGGUUUGAUCAAUAGUAAUCGAGUUAAUAAGCGUGUCUUCUUGUCUGAUCAAUACGCAACUGUGAGGUGCGCGAAUGGACAGAGCGGCCAGCUGCUGAUCACUCAACAGCCCGACGUGCACGAAUACACCUGGACUAUUGUCAAUAGGGAUGCACCGAUCUGAUCGGCGCCGAUCCAUAUCGGCCGAUAUUCCCAUUAUCGGUUUUGAUCGGCGCUCUCAAAACGGCUGAUCAGAUAGCAGUCAGUUCUGGGCCGACUCUGGCUGUCUUCCGCCAGUGUCGGCUGACUCACGUACAGAUUAUCAGUGUAUAUGCCAGACUCGGUCCAGAAGUGGACGUAGCAUUGCAAUAUGUUGGCAGUAAAGCUAUUACUGGGCCAAAGGUUGUUACAUAGGUCAUGGCCCAAUACUAUGCCGUUAGUUGUUGGCCCACAACACCGACUGCAUGCAACCGUCUGUGAAGUAUACAUGCCGUUGCUGGGCCAGAACCGAUAACACUAACAUCAACCAGCAUUUAUUUAUGCCAGGUGCAACAGGGAAGGUUACAUUGUUUUUAACUACAGCCUGUCCCGAACUGACGCACUCGUGUCUACAUUUCACAAAAUGCAAUUGUCUUGUCCAACCAACUGCCAGUUAAAUACACAUUAUAAAAUAGCACAUCUACCUAGUUUUUAUUCCAUUAGUUUUUAUUUAGUCAAUCACAGUCGUAAAAGAAAGUAAAGCUGAUCGUGUGAAAUCCCGGGGGAACACCAGCGGGAGACCCUGAUGAAUAUACCAAGCGCUCCUCAAAACCUCGACGUGGUUGGGAAACAACGGUCUGCCUUCAAGUGCGCAGUGAAUUUCAUCGGCGUCAGUCCACUAUCGGUAAGUACAAACAUAUUUGUUAAAAAUAUAUAUUUGAGUCCCCACAAUCAAAAGGUUGUCUGUUAGUAGUGCGCACUGUGUUUAACAGUUUCGAUACCUAUUCUUUCUCAGCUGAAUUUCUAUUAGCGGCAGCUAUACUCUUGCUAGCUAACGUUAGUUCAGUCAGGUUUCCACUGAGUCAGAGUUUCAGUUUUUCUCAUUGAAUUAUAAAUAUAAAGGGGGGCUGUACGUUUUUCAUAGAGGAAAGCUCUCAUUUUAAAAGCUGAUAUUCAUAUCUUUUUAACAGUCAAACUCCCUCCCUCAUUAAAACCUGCUGUGUCAUGCCACAAUGUGAUCGUCUGCCAGGAACUGACUGUCGUUUGAGACACCGGUUAGCUCACGAUUAUUUAGUUUUCCAUCGAUAAAAUUCAAUACUUUUGAAUCAGAAAUGGAGGUUAAGGUGUAAGUAAGCGGAGGGCUACUUGGAUUUGGCAUGACUUAUAUUUUCAAAUGCAAACUUUACAUGACAAUCGCUUUAUUUUCUUUGUUGAGGACAUUGACAAAAUCUGGCGGGAAACGUGUGUAAUCCUGCAGUAAGGGUGCGGCCCAGGCGCGUCUCUAAGAUUUGGAUACAUCCGGGGCUUAGCCAGUGCGAGCGUUGUCGACGACGGGGGGGGGGGGGGGUGCUAGUGAGAGUGUGCUCACCUGUGUGCGCGGAUGUGUCGCGCGUAUCACGGCAGAGCGAUGCGCGUUAUGGGAGCGGCGGCGCUGGGCUUAGCCCAGAGGAGUGAAGCAGCGAAAUGUGUAGACAUAGAAACACUCUCAGACAGAAGCUUGCUGUUACGUGCGCCUGCUGCCAGUCUGACUCCGCUGUUUUGGGUGAAUGACGUCACGUGCGACCUGGAGGUGUUAACCACUUGUGUACCAAAUCUUUUUUAUUUUUUGGUUGAAAACAUUCGGGGCUAAUGAAAAGCCACUGGUGCGGCCCACAUCGAUAUACCGACAACGGCCCAGUAGUAGGUAACGCGGUGUGGGCCGCCUGUUGAGGAAAGGUGUUCAGGUAUUAUUGUGAUGAUAUAAUUUUAUAAAAAAUGUAAACAUCUGGUUUUACGCAUCGACGCAGGCCCCGCCUCCAAAGGGUUAAGCGAGGCCUUUCACUAAGCAAAAAUAAGUAAGAAAGGUAAUAAGAAUCCAAACUGUGGUUUAAAUGUUUUGUAUUCUGUCAGCAAUGCAUUUAACUCUAAUUAACUCUUGUUUGUCUCUGUCCUCUUUACAUAAGCUGUCCAGUUCCCUCAGAAACCAGGACAUUCAUUCAGCAGAAGGCCACAAGACAGUUCACCAAGUGGGAGCUGCAGCGGGACGCCUGCAGGAGUUGACUAUUCUGAUCAUCCAGGGCCUCAGCCAGUGCCUGUGCCAUCCUGGAGUCGUCAGGCCCCAUUUGAAACUACAACCUCAUUAAUGCGGGAAAUGCUUGACUAAACAGGAGAUGAUUCUCGAGCAACAAACACGCAUCCUACAGAUUCUACAUGCAAGAAAGAAAGAUGCGUCUCAAUUUGAAAUAGAUGAGGGUCUCCUGCCAGUAAGGGGCCAGCAAGGCCUCCAACGUCUUGAAAGCCAACUUCAGGAAUCUGACUUUCGAUCAAAACUGAUAAACCAUCUCAGCCUGAUUGGCGGAAGUGAUGUCAAGGAUACGUUUUGGCGUCUCAUGAAGACAACAAUCUCAAACACCCUGGCAAAGGAAACCAAUUGGAGAGGAGUAAAUGGGACGGCUGAAGACGGCUGUAAUCGCUGCCGUACGGAAGAACCCACUGACAUCGAGGGCUUCUGAACGUGAGGUGGAGAUGUUCAUGAAGAGGUGGAGAUGUUCAUGAAGAGGUGGAGAUGUUCAUGAAGAGGUGGCUACAGCUGGCAGCGGACAGAGAAGGGGGCAGAAGAAGGCGAGCCCAAAUACCUUCAGCUCCCUGAACUUGUUGAUUAUUGUUAUAUUGAUACUUGUUAUAUUGAUUGUUAAGCUCUUCAAUACAUUGUUUUAAAAAUAAGUUUAGCUCCAUUAACUUGUUGGUUAUUGUUAUAUUGAUACUUGUUAUCUUGAUUGUUGCUCUAUUUCAAUACAUUGAUUUACAAAUACUGUACAAUUUUAAUUAAAGUUGAGUUAAACUUU